GUGUCUUGGCUAAGGUGUCUUGGCUAAUGUGUUUUGGCUAAGGUGUCUUGGCUAAUGUGUCUUGGCUAAGGUGUCUUGGCUAAGGUGUCUUGGCUAAGGUGUCUUGGCUAAUGUGUCUUGGCUAAGGUGUCUUGGCUAAUGUGUCUUGGCUAAGGUGUCUUGGCUAAGGUGUCUUGGCUAAGGUGUCUUGGCUAAUGUGUCUUGGAUAAGGUGUCUUGGCUAAUGUGUCUUGGCUAAGGUGUCUUGGCUAAGGUGUCUUGGCUAGGGUGUCUUGGCUAAGGUGUCUUGGCUAAUGUGUCUUGGCUAAUGUGUCUUGGCUAAUGUGUCUUGGCUAAGGUGUCUCGGCUAAUGUGUCUUGGCUAAUGUGUCUUGGCUAAUGUGUCUCGGCUAAUGUGUCUUGGCUAAUGUAACUUGGCUAAGGUGUCUUGGCUAAUGUGUCUUGGCUAAGGUGUCUUGGCUAAGGUGUCUUGGCUAA